CCUGUUCAUCCAAGAGGACAUAACAGGAGAUAAAGAAAUUUUGAGAGAAAAUAUCCAAGCAAUAAUAACCUUCAUACAGUUCAUUAUAGCUAAGAAAAACACAUUGCUGGGAUCGAGAUUCUAGAUUGUGUUUUGAGUAUGGCUGUAGUCACAAUCACAAAGGCAUAACAAAAAAUUGUAAGCUCAUGGCAAUCAGGAGCUUUAGCAAACAAUCUUUCAUAUGGUAAGAUCAGAUAAUUAAUUAAGUACACGGUGGUAUCAAAAGUAUAAUUCCAAAAUUUUAUUGGCACAAAUGCAUGAUUAAAAAGAGUGAGGCCUGUUUUAACAAUACGUCGAGGUUUGCGAGAAACUUAUUUUACAAUUGUUUAACGUUUUGGUAAAAUUUGGAUAAUGACAAACCCAAUUGGGAUUUCGCCAAGUGAGGAAUGAAAUGGAUCGAGAGAGUGAAGUGGACCAGUAGUCUACCAGGAUCUUGUCAUGGCCUUAGAUGGGUCUGCUAAAUCGUGGGCCUUUUCUAUGCAAGGCAGAUAUUUUGUUGGGCUACCUUAUAGCUCCUGAUCUGAAAGUUUUCAUCUUUCCGUAGGGUUUGAUCAUUCUCCCUCUUUCCCCCCAAUCCUUUUAUCUAAUUCAGACGAUUUCUGGACAUUGGAUUUCAUUCAAGCUACUUUAGGGAGUAUAUGCAAUGAAUAGAAAUGUGUCGUUAUCAGCCCUGGGAAGUUGAUUCAUCACAAGUUGAAGAUUCUACACAUGCGGGAAAUGGCAUGGAACGUGUAGAUGCAAGGUGGGAGACACAGAUGGCAAUGUUGGAGGCACGGAUUGCAAAUGUUGAAGCUCGGGUGGAAAGGCUUGAGGCGAGGAUGUUGUAUUUGCAAAAGGGAAUGCGUAUAGUAUGUGGGUUGUUUUUGGUUACUCUUGCAUAUGCUAUAUGCAAAUGAAUGGGAUUGUGACUAAUUGGUUUUAGGCUUCUAAUUGGGUUACUCACAAUUAGAUGCGUACUUUAAAAGUUCUUUGUAUAAAAUUCAGAUUUUUCAUGCUAAGAUGAAAAUACGAUGGCCAUUUUUGUGAUGCUGUUGUUGACAUUUAAAAGAUAAUGAUGCAGUUUGAGAAA